UUCUCUGAAAUUUGCAUGAGCCUAUAUGA
rnacentral:piRNA from 1 species